CAACCCUGAUCCAGCCAUGCCGCGUGCGGGAAGAAGGCCUUCGGGUUGUAAACCGCUUUUGUCAGGGACGAAAAGCUCCGGAGUAAUAUGCCGGAGUGCUGACGGUACCUGAAGAAUAAGCACCGGCUAACUACGUGCCAGCAGCCGCGGUAAUACGUAGGGUGCAAGCGUUAAUCGGAAUUACUGGGCGUAAAGCGUGCGCAGGCGGUUGGGUAAGACAGAUGUGAAAUCCCCGGGCUUAACCUGGGAACUGCAUUUGUGACUGUCCGACUGGAGUACGUCAGAGGGGGGCGGAAUUCCACGUGUAGCAGUGAAAUGCGUAGAUAUGUGGAAGAACACCGAUGGCGAAGGCAGCCCCCUGGGACGCAACUGACGCUCAUGCACGAAAGCGUGGGGAGCAAACAGGAUUAGAUACCCUGGUAGUCCACGCCCUAAACGAUGUCUGCUGGUUGUUGGGAAUUUAAUUCUCAGUAACGAAGCCAACGCGUGAAGCAGACCGCCUGGGGAGUACGGUCGCAAGAUUACAACUCAAAUGAAUUGACGGA
rnacentral:rRNA from 1 species